rnacentral:rRNA from 1 species
UCAGGAUGAACGCUAGCUACAGGCUUAACACAUGCAAGUCGAGGGGCAGCAUAAUCGAAGCUUGCUUGAUGAUGGCGACCGGCGCACGGGUGAGUAACGCGUAUCCAACCUUCCCCUUAGUAGGGCAUAGCCCGGCGAAAGUCGGAUUAAUACCCUAUGUUAUCCGUCGAGGGCAUCUGAAGUGGAUUAAAGAUUUAUCGCUAAGGGAUGGGGAUGCGUCUGAUUAGGUUGUUGGCGGGGUAACGGCCCACCAAGCCUACGAUCAGUAGGGUUCUGAGAGGAAGGUCCCCCACAUUGGUACUGAGACACGGACCAAACUCCUACGGGAGGCAGCAGUGAGGAAUAUUGGUCAAUGGGCGAGAGCCUGAACCAGCCAAGUAGCCGUGCAGGAUGACGGCCCUAUGGGUUGUAAACUGCUUUUGCAUGGGAAUAAAGUCGGGGACGUGUCCCCGUUUGUAUGUACCAUGAGAAUAAGGACCGGCUAAUUCCGUGCCAGCCGCCGC